rnacentral:rRNA from 1 species
CCUACGGGAGGCAGCAGUGAGGAAUAUUGGUCAAUGGGCGGAAGCCUGAACCAGCCAAGCAGCGUGCGGGACGAAGGUCCCAAGGGUCGUAAACUGCUUUUGCACGGGGAUAACAUCCUCCACUUGUGGAGGUCUGAAGGUACCGUGCGAAUAAGCGUCGGCUAAUUCCGUGCCAGCAGCCGCGGUAAUACGGAGGAUGCGAGCGUUAUCCGGAUUUAUUGGGUUUAAAGGGUGCGUAGGCGGAAGAUCAAGUCAGCGGUAAAAUUGAGGGGCUCAACCCCUUCGAGCCGUUGAAACUGGUUGUCUUGAGAGGGUGAGAGGUAUGCGGAAUGCGUAGUGUAGCGGUGAAAUGCUUAGAUAUCGCGCAGAACUCCGAUUGCGAAGGCAGCAUACCGGCGCUCAACUGACGCUCAUGCACGAAAGUGUGGGUAUCGAACAGGAUUAGAUACCCUUGUAGUC